GUGCACCAGGCGCGAAACUUUACAAUGUGCGAAAGCACGAUAAGGGAACUCUGAGUGCCUCCUAAGGAGGCUGUUCAGGUGUCUAAAAGCACCUGGAGUAAGGGCUGGGUAAGACCGGUGCCAGCCGCCGCGGUAACACCGGCAGCCCAGGCGGUAGCCACUUCUAUUGGGUCUAAAGCGUCCGUAGCCGGUUGAGUAAGUUCCUUGGGAAAUUUGGCUGCUCAACAGUCAAGCUUCCAGGGAAUACUGCUCGACUUGGGACUGGGAGAGGUCAGAGGUACUCCAGGGGUAGGGGUGAAAUCCAUUAAUCCCUGGGGGACCACCGGUAGCGAAGGCGUCUGACCAGACCAGGUCCGACGGUGAGGGACGAAGGCUAGGGUCGCGAACCGGAUUAGAUACCCGUGUAGU
rnacentral:rRNA from 1 species